rnacentral:rRNA from 1 species
CUAUGCGCCUUGCCAGCCCGCUCAGGUGUGCCAGCCGCCGCGGUAAUACGUAGGGGGCUAGCGUUAUCCGGAAUUACUGGGCGUAAAGGGUGCGUAGGUGGUUUCUUAAGUCAGAGGUGAAAGGCUACGGCUCAACCGUAGUAAGCCUUUGAAACUGGGGAACUUGAGUGCAGGAGAGGAGAGUGGAAUUCCUAGUGUAGCGGUGAAAUGCGUAGAUAUUAGGAGGAACACCAGUGGCGAAGGCGGCCGCCUGGCCUGUUGCUGACGCUGAGGCACGAAAGCGUGGGGAGCAAAUAGG